GUCUAUAAAUAAGAGUGAAAGUGUAAUUAUCUCGAUCAUUUCGUGUUUGAUAAUCAUACAGACAAGCGAUUUCAUAUCGUUAAAACCAUGGUAAGUUCUUAUGUUGAAAUACAAUUUGAAAUGUAAUUUAACUUUCAGAGAGGCUUUAUAGAAACAUAAAGCAAAAUUGUUUCUUCAAUUUGGAAACAUGUAGUGUAUAACAAGUGAUUUCAAAAUAUACAAACAGUAAAGGCCGUCAAGUUUGUUAUCAAGGUAUUGAGCAUGUUUUAUAUACAUAACACUCUGUGUCAAAUGUUUUUCUUAUUUAAAAUUGAUUAUUCAUUAUGAAGCAUUAUUAUGCUACAAUAUAAAAACUUAAUUAUAGAUUUUUAUAAUAUCAAAUUUUCGAAUUCAUUUUAACAUAAAAUAGCACUUGUUAAUAUUGCUGCAUUGAUAGCAUGAAUUUAUGUUACCAAGGAAUGCUCAUUCCAAAACAUUUGAAUAUAGGGCUGUAUCACUGAAAGGUAGGAGUGCAUCUUAUUCAAGUCUACAAUCCGUUCUGCGUGUAUGCUUUGUUUCAGAUUUGAGUUACUUCUGUAUAUUGUUACCUCAUUAAACUAUUAGUAAUAUUUCAAAAUUAUUAUUCUUUCAGAUGCCUCUUCUUUUAUUUGCUUUGUUCAUUGGUAGUUCAGCUACACAUCAAAUCAACCAGGACAUGGAUGCGGAAUGGCUACUAUUUAAGAAAGCGUAUAACAAAGCUUAUGAGAACAGAAGUGAAGAUUAUUUAAGGUGGACUUUU
rnacentral:lncRNA from 1 species